rnacentral:tmRNA from 1 species
GGGGGCGAUACGGUCUCGACGUCGGUAUCAAAGCAAAAGGUGCAUGCCGAGAGAGUAGCGGCUCUCGCUAAACAAUCGCUGCAAACCUAUAGUUGCCAACGACGACAACUACGCACUAGCGGCCUAAAACCCCGCUAACGCCGAUGAUCCCUCGCCUGCGGGGUGAAAUCGGCGGCAAAGACAGCAGGAUCGCGCUUUCGCCCACGCCCGGGGUCGGCAGCGUCAAACCUUUCCGGGCUCGCCAACAGCGCCCUGGCCGCCGGGCCGCUUG